GGGUUGUGAGGUUAAGCGACUAAGCGUACACGGUGGAUGCCCUGGCAGUCAGAGGCGAUGAAGGACGUGCUAAUCUGCGAUAAGCGUCGGUGAGGUGAUAUGAACCGUUAUAACCGGCGAUUUCCGAAUGGGGAAACCCAGUGUGAUUCGUCACACUAUCAUUAACUGAAUCCAUAGGUUAAUGAGGCGAACCGGGGGAACUGAAACAUCUAAGUACCCCGAGGAAAAGAAAUCAACCGAGAUUCCCCCAGUAGCGGCGAGCGAACGGGGAGCAGCCCAGAGCCUGAAUCAGUGUGUGUGUUAGUGGAAGCGUCUGGAAAGGCGCGCGAUACAGGGUGACAGCCCCGUACACAAAAAUGCACAUACUGUGAGCUCGAUGAGUAGGGCGGGACACGUGGUAUCCUGUCUGAAUAUGGGGGGACCAUCCUCCAAGGCUAAAUACUCCUGACUGACCGAUAGUGAACCAGUACCGUGAGGGAAAGGCGAAAAGAACCCCGGCGAGGGGAGUGAAAAAGAACCUGAAACCGUGUACGUACAAGCAGUGGGAGCCUCUUAAUGGGGUGACUGCGUACCUUUUGUAUAAUGGGUCAGCGACUUAUAUUCUGUAGCAAGGUUAACCGAAUAGGGGAGCCGAAGGGAAACCGAGUCUUAACUGGGCGUUAAGUUGCAGGGUAUAGACCCGAAACCCGGUGAUCUAGCCAUGGGCAGGUUGAAGGUUGGGUAACACUAACUGGAGGACCGAACCGACUAAUGUUGAAAAAUUAGCGGAUGACUUGUGGCUGGGGGUGAAAGGCCAAUCAAACCGGGAGAUAGCUGGUUCUCCCCGAAAGCUAUUUAGGUAGCGCCUCGUGAAUUCAUCUCCGGGGGUAGAGCACUGUUUCGGCAAGGGGGUCAUCCCGACUUACCAACCCGAUGCAAACUGCGAAUACCGGAGAAUGUUAUCACGGGAGACACACGGCGGGUGCUAACGUCCGUCGUGAAGAGGGAAACAACCCAGACCGCCAGCUAAGGUCCCAAAGUCAUGGUUAAGUGGGAAACGAUGUGGGAAGGCCCAGACAGCCAGGAUGUUGGCUUAGAAGCAGCCAUCAUUUAAAGAAAGCGUAAUAGCUCACUGGUCGAGUCGGCCUGCGCGGAAGAUGUAACGGGGCUAAACCAUGCACCGAAGCUGCGGCAGCGACGCUUAUGCGUUGUUGGGUAGGGGAGCGUUCUGUAAGCCUGUGAAGGUGUACUGUGAGGUAUGCUGGAGGUAUCAGAAGUGCGAAUGCUGACAUAAGUAACGAUAAAGCGGGUGAAAAGCCCGCUCGCCGGAAGACCAAGGGUUCCUGUCCAACGUUAAUCGGGGCAGGGUGAGUCGACCCCUAAGGCGAGGCCGAAAGGCGUAGUCGAUGGGAAACAGGUUAAUAUUCCUGUACUUGGUGUUACUGCGAAGGGGGGACGGAGAAGGCUAUGUUGGCCGGGCGACGGUUGUCCCGGUUUAAGCGUGUAGGCUGGUUUUCCAGGCAAAUCCGGAAAANNNNNNNNNNNNNNNNNNNNNNNNNNNNNNNNNNNNNNNNNNNNNNNNNNNNNNCAUCAAAUCGUACCCCAAACCGACACAGGUGGUCAGGUAGAGAAUACCAAGGCGCUUGAGAGAACUCGGGUGAAGGAACUAGGCAAAAUGGUGCCGUAACUUCGGGAGAAGGCACGCUGAUAUGUAGGUGAAGCGACUUGCUCGUGGAGCUGAAAUCAGUCGAAGAUACCAGCUGGCUGCAACUGUUUAUUAAAAACACAGCACUGUGCAAACACGAAAGUGGACGUAUACGGUGUGACGCCUGCCCGGUGCCGGAAGGUUAAUUGAUGGGGUUAGCGGUAACGCGAAGCUCUUGAUCGAAGCCCCGGUAAACGGCGGCCGUAACUAUAACGGUCCUAAGGUAGCGAAAUUCCUUGUCGGGUAAGUUCCGACCUGCACGAAUGGCGUAAUGAUGGCCAGGCUGUCUCCACCCGAGACUCAGUGAAAUUGAACUCGCUGUGAAGAUGCAGUGUACCCGCGGCAAGACGGAAAGACCCCGUGAACCUUUACUAUAGCUUGACACUGAACAUUGAGCCUUGAUGUGUAGGAUAGGUGGGAGGCUUUGAAGUGUGGACGCCAGUCUGCAUGGAGCCGGCCUUGAAAUACCACCCUUUAAUGUUUGAUGUUCUAACGUUGGCCCCUGAUCGGGGUUGCGGACAGUGUCUGGUGGGUAGUUUGACUGGGGCGGUCUCCUCCUAAAGAGUAACGGAGGAGCACGAAGGUUGGCUAAUCCUGGUCGGACAUCAGGAGGUUAGUGCAAUGGCAUAAGCCAGCUUGACUGCGAGCGUGACGGCGCGAGCAGGUGCGAAAGCAGGUCAUAGUGAUCCGGUGGUUCUGAAUGGAAGGGCCAUCGCUCAACGGAUAAAAGGUACUCCGGGGAUAACAGGCUGAUACCGCCCAAGAGUUCAUAUCGACGGCGGUGUUUGGCACCUCGAUGUCGGCUCAUCACAUCCUGGGGCUGAAGUAGGUCCCAAGGGUAUGGCUGUUCGCCAUUUAAAGUGGUACGCGAGCUGGGUUUAGAACGUCGUGAGACAGUUCGGUCCCUAUCUGCCGUGGGCGCUGGAGAACUGAGGGGGGCUGCUCCUAGUACGAGAGGACCGGAGUGGACGCAUCACUGGUGUUCGGGUUGUCAUGCCAAUGGCACUGCCCGGUAGCUAAAUGCGGAAGAGAUAAGUGCUGAAAGCAUCUAAGCACGAAACUUGCCCCGAGAUGAGUUCUCCCAGACUCAUUGAGGGACCUGAAGGAACGUAGAAGACGACGACGUUGAUAGGCCGGGUGAGUAAGCGCAGCGAUCCCUUCAGCUAACCUGUACAAAUG
rnacentral:rRNA from 1 species